AAUAGUAUUUGAAUUCUCCAUAUAUCCACAGAUGGUGUAGCCACUAAAGCGCCAUAUUGGUCGCUUUAGUGGUAGGCGCUAAAGCACUAUUUGGCUGAUUAAGCAACUAGUUACCAGUUGGGCAAAGGGCAUUUUAGCGGACCUUUUACACUUUAGUGGAGGGAGCUAAAGCAACCUAUUUUUGCUUUAGCAGGAUGGAAUGCUAAGUACGUACCUCUAAAGGGAUACUUGACCACUUAAGCGGGUACCACUUACUAGCACCUGAAACCUAGGUAUAUAGAAUUCUUUUCUCAUUUUCUUC
rnacentral:lncRNA from 1 species